CACGGAGUUAGCCGAUCCUUAUUCCUCCGGUACGUUCAGCUACUUACACGUAAGUAGGUUUAUUCCCGGAUAAAAGCAGUUUACAACCCAUAGGGCAGUCAUCCUGCACGCGGCAUGGCUGGUUCAGAGUUGCCUCCAUUGACCAAUAUUCCUUACUGCUGCCUCCCGUAGGAGUCUGGUCCGUGUCUCAGUACCAGUGUGGGGGGCCAUCCUCUCAGAUCCCCUAGUCAUCGUCGCCUUGGUGGGCCGUUACCCCGCCAACUAGCUAAUGACACGCAUGCCCAUCUUCAUCCCAUAAAUGUUUGAUCAUUAAAUAAUGCUAUUCUGUGAUUUUAUGCGGUAUUAAUCCGGAUUUCUCCGGGCUAUCCCCCAGAUAAAGGUAGGUUGCAUACGCGUUACGCACCCGUGCGCCGGUCUCAAGAAAGCAAGCCUUCUCUACCCCUCGACUUGCAUGUAUUAGGCCUGCCGCUAGCGUUCAUCCUGAGCCAGGAUCAAACUCU
rnacentral:rRNA from 1 species